UCACUUCUUCAACAUCGUACAGUGUGAGUGACGCAAAUAAUCUUCUCGACAAGUUAUUUAAUCAGUCUGGUUACAAUAAACUGGUCCAACCAGACAAACAAGUAAUUGUAUUUGCAGGAUACACAUUGCAGAGUGUAAAUUCAUUAGAUAUCAAGAAACAGAUAUUUUCGACAACAGGAUUUUUUACCUUGGAAUGGCAAGACGACCGAUUGAAAUGGGACACAAGUUAUGGAGACAUUCAAUCAGUAUUUGUACCAGUUGACCGAGUUUGGCACCCCGACUUGGUUGUUCUUAACUUAAUUCACGAGUUAGAGCGGAAUCUUGGUGCUGAAAGACCAGUUCGAAUACAUAAGGACGGAAAGCUGGUUUGGAAACCAAUCGCAAUGCUGUCCACGUUUUGUUUAACUCUUGUCUACUUCUUCCCAUUUGACCGUCACACAUGCAGUUUAGAAUUAACUAGCUUAGAUCACCCUGUAUCGGAUGUCUGUUUAAAAUACUUUAAAAACCCAGUAGAUAUAGAUGUACACUAUUCACAGGCGGAUUGGCAGGUUAUAAACACCUUAAAUAAUUACAAUUCUACGACAGCAUGCCCAGACUUAUCAGGGUGGCCAGAAUGGCUAGGAUUGCCAGAAUGGAACUCGUAUUUGUUUUUCAACCUGGAGUUAAAAAGGCUUCCUGGGCAUUACAUAAUGAUCGUUUUAUUUCCAACCAUUCUUACUGCAGUAUUAACAUAUGCUGCAUUUUUUCUACCACUUAAAUCCGGAGUCAGGAUUGGAUAUAUUGUUACAGUGGUACUUGCUUAUGCGGUGUUAUUGACGUUAUUUGCAGAGACAAUGCCGUCAUCUACAAAAUUUCCUUCAGUUCUAGUGGUGUUAUUUACGAUAACUUUAGGAAUGGCUUUUUUGUUAAUUAUCAUAACGAUAUUUGUCACGAGACUAUACUAUAAACCGAAACGGAGCAUUGCUCCAAACUGGAUGCAUUCAUUGGUAAGGAAACUCCGGAAGUUAAAGUGCAGAGCAAGAAGAAUACAUCAUAUUGAACAAAAUCAGGCUAUAGAAGAUGGACGACCAAAAGAAGAAGUAGCAAGCGUUGCAAAAUGUAGCCCAUUAAAACCAUACAGCAACAAGGAGCUAGCAGAAUUCUUUGAUUAUUUGCUGUUUAUUGUUUUUACAAUUUUUUACAUUUUUAUGCUUGCAAUUGUUCCAAUCGGAGCGACCAUAUGGUUUUAUAUAGCUACAGGUAAACUCUAAAUAUGUUGUCGUCAUCGCACUUUUUAUCCUUUACUUUGAUUUUUUCUCUUUUUUGUCGGGCAACAAUUGCACAGUACAUACACUCAAUUCAACCACCUUGUUGGUAUAUUGUGCAUCACCAAUAAUCAUUUGUACUAUGUUAUCAUUACGCACAUUUUAAAUACUUAUCAAUUAUGGACUUUUGACGAGGUCAAUACGUUAUAUAUGGACCUAUUCAGAUUAUAUUGAACAAGGACGAAGUCAAUACAAUCUAACCGGUCAAUAUAUAACGUAUUGACUGAGUGAAAGUCCUUAAUUUAUAUAUUACAUAUGAAAAUAAUGAAUUAGGAAAACGGCGUUCAAUCCUCAUUCUGUGUAUUUUUAAAUUGUAUUUUGCAAGAAUUUUAGCAUGUUAUUGAAAAUAUCAAUAUUCUUUGAACAACUUCAUAGCUUUUUGCAUUAGCUUUCUUGUAUUCUUAGCGUCUGCAUUUAACAUAAAUUCUUGAAAUCUCCUGAUAAACUUGCAAAUUUUCUUUUCGUCUGCUGCGAAGCUUACUCCAUGGUUGUUAUGUGUGACGUCAUGACAUCAUGAAUCUAAAUUUAGCAAGAUGUUUUUAUAUUGACCGUCAAUAUACAUAUAAAUAGAAACAUAGCAUCAAUAUACUUAAAAAUAGAAACAAGGCUUCGAAUAUGUAACAUAACCUUUGAAACACGUGAUCGUAAUAUCCAAUGAAAACAGUGGACUACUACACCUUAUGUAAUAUUAUCAUUUACGUACAACAAAAUACUACACAUAUAAUUUGUUUUUUCAUAUUAUAAAUGGUUACGAGCAUAAAUAUUUCAGCUGUUAAAAUGUAUUAAUCGCCGUCGAUAUUAUGUAAAAGAGAUAUUUAUAAUAAAGUAUAAAAUCUAUAUUUUGUGUACUUAGUUUAGACAUUUUCGUAUAGUUAACCCUUGAGCAUUUCUGAAUAGAUAUCAAUUGCCGGACUGUGACUCUGGUGAGGUUAAAUUGGUACCAUUUAUGUUGUUUGGCCUGCAGAGCAGUGAUAUCUAAGUAUACGGUAUAGGUUUUGCUCAUUGUUGCAGCCCGUACUGUAACUAGUUAUUUACUCUUUUUAACUCUAAUUGACAGUUGUCUCAUUAAGAAUCAUACCUCUAAAUAUGUUUUUGUAAAUCUAAUUUUCAAAUCAAAUUGGUCGGCACAAACUGCUAGAUACCAUUUAUAAAUUCGCAGCCCCUUUUUCAAUGGUUUAUGUAAUAAUUUUUUUCAAUUUGUUGUUAUAUAUUUUAUAUAUGUUUACAUUCCAUUUUUGAAUAAAGCUUCUUUGGGAUUAUGACAAUUAAUACUGAUAAAAUAGAAAGCAACAUAUACGAGCCAAAGAAGAUAUUAUGUCAAGAUCAAAUGUUCAACUUUUACGGACUUGGUAUAUAAUAUUACAAACUAUAAUAUUAAGUAUAUAUCGUAGAGAGUCUAGAGAAGUUGCACCAAAAUUAUAUUUACCAAUAACCAUAAGAAUUUUAACUGAUAAACUAUUGUAUUAAGAGCAACCCAAAAAGUUACCAUGUCUUGGACAGUCGGAUGAAGAGGGGACAGCUGCCUUUUCAUGGAUUUCCGUAAAUUUUAUGGACACCAUCACAAAUUGGUUGAUCCAUACGAUGCGUCUGUGUCUAAACUAACUAAGGACAGUUUUACCACAUCUUAGAUAGUGGUUUACCAUUUACGUCGCCUGGUCUUUUAAGUACCGAACAUGACCUAUUCCCGAAUAUGACUAUUUUGCUGAGUGUGAAUUCGCAUUGCUAUAAAACGUGUCACGGUAUUUAUUUAUCCAACAUUCAUGUAUUCAGUAAUGAUGUUGUUUUUGUAAUUCUGAUCGGAUAUUGUUAAAUGUCUUAUCGUUUGUAGUUGAAACUCUUUUUUUAUUUUCUAUUCGUAUGUUAAAGUAAAGAUAAUUAAUCACCCAGUUCUUUUAUAAGAUUUUAGUUUAACAUGUUUAAAGCAACCAUAUGUACACUAUUUAUUUGUUUUACAGUUUGACCUAGACGAAAUACGGAUAUAGCUAGAUAAAACAAUUAAUUAUCUAAUUACUAACAUAAUUCUAUAUUAAUAUUAUUGUAAUUGUUAUAAAAUACAUCAAAUAACAAAAUUACAAACCUAAUCUUGAUUUAUAUCUAAUUUUUAUAAAUGUUCCUGUGACGUCACUUUUGUGGCGUUGUUCCAGUCGUGUGACGGACAGUUCGUGGUUCUUUUGUGCUGUUUUUGUGUGCUGUCCUAGGUUGUUUUACGUGUUCGUUUUUAUUUUGUGGUUAGCAUGUCGAAAUGUUCUAUUGUAUUGUUUAUUUGUGUAUUUCUCUGUCCUGAAUGUUCUUGCAUUUAUUUGUACUGUGUUCUUGUCAUGUAAUGAUAUCAUUUUAGUGUUAUAUUUAACAUUGUCAUAAAAGCGCGAGGUUUGGCUAGCCACAAAACCAGGUUUAACCCACCAGUUUUUUUUUCUUAAAAUGUCCUGUACCAAGUCAGGAAAAUGACAAUUGUUAUCUUAUAGUUCGUUUCUGUGUGUGUUGCAUUGUCGUUUGUGUUUGUUGCACUUCAGUGUUUCUGUUGUUUCUUUGUUUUCCUCUUAUAGUUGAUGUGUUUCCGUCGGUUUAAGUUUUUAACCCGGAUUUCUUUUCUCUCAAUCGAUUUAUGACUUUCGAACAGCGGUAUACUACUGUUGCCUUUAUUUUCCUAACACUAGAAGGCGAAGGAAAAGCUAAGAUGGAAUAAUUAUACAACAUUUUUCUUUUUUUUCUUUUUAUUAUAUCAUAUUGUUUUUUUGAAUGUUAUAUAUAUAAUUUUUUAGAUGUAAUAAAAUGCU